rnacentral:rRNA from 1 species
GUCGAACGAGUUCUGAUUAUUGAAAGGUGCUUGCAUCUUGAUUUAAUUUUGAACGAGUGGCGGACGGGUGAGUAACACGUGGGUAACCUGCCCUUAAGUGGGGGAUAACAUUUGGAAACAGAUGCUAAUACCGCAUAAAUCCAAGAACCGCAUGGUUCUUGGCUGAAAGAUGGCGUAAGCUAUCGCUUUUGGAUGGACCCGCGGCGUAUUAGCUAGUUGGUGAGGUAACGGCUCACCAAGGCAAUGAUACGUAGCCGAACUGAGAGGUUGAUCGGCCACAUUGGGACUGAGACACGGCCCAAACUCCUACGGGAGGCAGCAGUAGGGAAUCUUCCACAAUGGACGCAAGUCUGAUGGAGCAACGCCGCGUGAGUGAAGAAGGCUUUCGGGUCGUAAAACUCUGUUGUUGGAGAAGAAUGGUCGGCAGAGUAACUGUUGUCGGCGUGACGGUAUCCAACCAGAAAGCCACGGCUAACUACGUGCCAGCAGCCGCGGUAAUACGUAGGUGGCAAGCGUUAUCCGGAUUUAUUGGGCGUAAAGCGAGCGCAGGCGGUUUUUUAAGUCUGAUGUGAAAGCCCUCGGCUUAACCGAGGAAGUGCAUCGGAAACUGGGAAACUUGAGUGCAGAAGAGGACAGUGGAACUCCAUGUGUAGCGGUGAAAUGCGUAGAUAUAUGGAAGAACACCAGUGGCGAAGGCGGCUGUCUGGUCUGUAACUGACGCUGAGGCUCGAAAGCAUGGGUAGCGAACAGGAUUAGAUACCCUGGUAGUCCAUGCCGUAAACGAUGAAUGCUAGGUGUUGGAGGGUUUCCGCCCUUCAGUGCCGCAGCUAACGCAUUAAGCAUUCCGCCUGGGGAGUACGACCGCAAGGUUGAAACUCAAAGGAAUUGACGGGGGCCCGCACAAGCGGUGGAGCAUGUGGUUUAAUUCGAAGCAACGCGAAGAACCUUACCAGGUCUUGACAUCUUUUGAUCACCUGAGAGAUCAGGUUUCCCCUUCGGGGGCAAAAUGACAGGUGGUGCAUGGUUGUCGUCAGCUCGUGUCGUGAGAUGUUGGGUUAAGUCCCGCAACGAGCGCAACCCUUAUGACUAGUUGCCAGCAUUUAGUUGGGCACUCUAGUAAGACUGCCGGUGACAAACCGGAGGAAGGUGGGGAUGACGUCAAAUCAUCAUGCCCCUUAUGACCUGGGCUACACACGUGCUACAAUGGAUGGUACAACGAGUUGCGAGACCGCGAGGUCAAGCUAAUCUCUUAAAGCCAUUCUCAGUUCGGACUGUAGGCUGCAACUCGCCUACACGAAGUCGGAAUCGCUAGUAAUCGCGGAUCAGCACGCCGCGGUGAAUACGUUCCCGGGCCUUGUACACACCGCCCGUCACACCAUGAGAGUUUGUAACACCCGAAGCCGGUGGCGUAACCCUUUUAG